rnacentral:rRNA from 1 species
UACGAAGGGGGCUAGGCGUUGCUCGGAAUUACUGGGCGUAAAGGGGCGCGAUAGGCGGGUCGGUUUAGUUAGAGGUGAAAGCCCCAGGGCUCAACCCUGGAAAUUGCCUUUAAUACUGGCGGCCUUGAGUAUGGCAAGAGGUGUGUGGAACUCCGAGUGUAGAGGUGAAAUUCGUAGAUAUUCGGGAAAGAACACCAGUGGCGAAGGC